AGUGAACGCUGGCGGUAGGCCUAACACAUGCAAGUCGAACGGCAGCACAGUAAGAGCUUGCUCUUACGGGUGGCGAGUGGCGGACGGGUGAGGAAUACAUCGGAAUCUACUUUUUCGUGGGGGAUAACGUAGGGAAACUUACGCUAAUACCGCAUACGACCUACGGGUGAAAGCAGGGGAUCUUCGGACCUUGCGCGAUUGAAUGAGCCGAUGUCGGAUUAGCUAGUUGGCGGGGUAAAGGCCCACCAAGGCGACGAUCCGUAGCUGGUCUGAGAGGAUGAUCAGCCACACUGGAACUGAGACACGGUCCAGACUCCUACGGGAGGCAGCAGUGGGGAAUAUUGGACAAUGGGCACAAGCCUAAUCCAGCCAUACCGCGUGGGUGAAGAAGGCCUUCGGGUUGUAAAGCCCUUUUGUUGGGAAAGAAAAGCAGCAGGUUAAUACCCCGCUGUUCUGACGGUACCCAAAGAAUAAGCACCGGCUAACUUCGUG
rnacentral:rRNA from 1 species